rnacentral:rRNA from 1 species
UCAGGAUGAACGCUAGCUACAGGCUAACACAUGCAAGUCAGGGGCAGCAUGAAGUUGCUGCAAACUUGAUGGCGACCGGCGCACGGGUGAGUAACGCGUAUCCAACCUGGCCCGCAGUAGGGAACAGCCCGGCGAAAGUCGGAUUAAUGCCCUAUGUCUCCUUUGCAGGCAUCCAAUGAGGAGAAAGAUUUAUCGCUGCGGGAUGGGGAUGCGUCUGAUUAGCUUGUCGGCGGGGUAACGGCCCACCGAGGCAACGAUCAGUAGGGGUUCUGAGAGGAAGGUCCCCCACACUGGUACUGAGACACGGACCAGACUCCGACGGGAGGCAGCAGUGAGGAAUAUUGGUCAAUGGGCGAGAGCCUGAACCAGCCAAGUAGCGUGCAAGGACGACUGCCCUAUGGGUUGUAAACUGCUUUUAUGCGGGGAUAAACUUCAGCACGUGUGCUGUUUUGCAGGUACCGCAUGAAUAAGGACCGGCUAAUUCCGUGCCAGCCGCCGC